AGUAACGCGUGAGGAACCUGCCUCAGANAGGGGGAUAACACACCGAAAGGUGUGCUAAUACCGCAUAACAUAUGAGAGGGGCAUCCCUUUCAUAUCAAAGAUUUAUUGCUCUGAGAUGGCCUCGCGUCCAAUUAGCUAGUUGGUGAGGUAACGGCCCACCAAGGCGACGAUUGGUAGCCGGACUGAGAGGUUGAACGGCCACAUUGGGACUGAGACACGGCCCAGACUCCUACGGAAGGCAGCAG
rnacentral:rRNA from 1 species